UCAUCUGGUGGCGUUAUUCCAUUUUCAUCAUCCAUGGAGACCUAGAUCCUGAUUUGGAAGUUUUUGACAAAAUGUUCAGCAUCUGACUUAACAUCAUCAUUACCAAUGAAGGUCAUCCUGGUAUCCUCCUGAGCAUCCUUCUCAACUGCCCCGAGCCAUGCAUAGCUGUUCCCUGCUGUCCAUCCUACCAGAUGGCCUCAAAACAGACAGAAAAGGGACAUGGCUAAUGGUGUGUGGUGUCUUAUGUGGAGGAAAGGCCAGUAAUGACCCCUUGCAGAUGGAGCUGACCAAACACAGUCUUUCCCAUGGCAACAGAAAAAAAAUAAAAACAUAAAAUUAAAAAAAAUCGGAGGUUACAUAAUCGCCGUCACUGGACUGGGAGGAAUGCGGAGAUCAUGAAGUUGUUUGUGGCUUUUGGUCGAAGGUGUUGGGUGAAGAUACAGAAGUCCCACUGAGUAACUGAACAGGAUGCUGUGCUUGCUUUGAAGUCUGUGAUCCAUUUCGAGAUGAUUUUUGCGAAGGGUGUAAGGUCUAUGUCUAGAUUGAUUUUUUUGCAUCUGGACGACUGGUUGUUCUGGG